GCUUGCACUUUGUAAAAGUUUCUUAAUCACAAAGCAUCUGAAUACCACUUUCAGCGUAUUUCAGUUCUGUUCAUCUUAUUCCAUUCUAGUCCAUUAUUUUUUCCACCCAUCCUAGUUUAUUCCGAAAACAGGAAAAGCUUGUAAAUAAACUAAGAUUAGUUAGAGGGCAAAUAAUUAAUUAUCUGAAACCGAACAGGUAGCUGGAACAUCAUCGCUUUGACAAACUCUCAACCAACCAACAAAGCAAUUUUCCAAAGCUUCUUGUUUCUUAUUUCCGUUUUUUAAAAUCAAUCGCUAGAUUUAGGGUUUUCUCAAUUUUUUCUCUUUUUCUAGAUUUUUAACGCAGGAAAAUCAACAAUCACGACCACGACCACAUCCAAGGAAGUAUCACAGAAAACAUCAGACGGGAUGACAUUUGAGAUGGCAAAAGCGGUGGCUUUGGCUUCACCGACAGUGUUAUUCAUAUGCUGAAAGUCACCGGGGAUAUACUCUCUAUGGUUCUCAAGUAUGCCAAUAAACAUUAUCCGGCUCCUGCUACUCCUUUUUCUCAUGAUGAGUUUGCUCUUUGGUUGAAUACAGGUAUAGCCGGAACUGCAUUGUUCUUAAGCCAUGUCGAAAUUCCAGAUAGGAAAUGAUACCACUGUCAACUCUCUCUCGCACUAUUGGUAGCAAGCCAUCUGGAAAUAGACUUCACUAUAAUACCAUAUGCUUGAGGUAAAGACACUCUUGGAAAAUGUAAUUCCUUUUAUAUACUUGAGAAACUUGCCGACGCUUCUCUGAACCAAAAAUUAUUAUGCAUGAGUAUUCAGAAAUCAUAUGUAAGUCAAAGUUCUUAUAAUGUACGGUCAUUAGUUGCGACAAUAAUUGCGAUUAUCUUGGAAUUCUUGAUUUUUUAUGCAAAUAUUGAAAUAGAUGGGAGAAUAUAAUGAUAAUUGUUAUAGAUAUUCCCCAAUGCAGUUUUGCAGAAACUGCAAUUGUUCUUGAGCCAUAUUUAAAAAUCCAG